UACAGAGACUGCAAGCGUUACUCGGAUUCACUGGGCGUAAAGGGAGCGCAGGCGGACUCGUGUGUCGGACGUGAAAUACCGGGGCUUAACCCCGGUGCUGCGUUCGAAACUACGAGUCUAGAGACUGGAGGGGUAAGCGGAAUUCUUGGUGGAGCAGUGAAAUGCGUAGAUAUCAAGAGGAACACCAACGGCGAAGGCAGCUUACUGGACAAGAUCUGACGCUCAGGCUCGAAAGCGUGGGGAGCAAAAGGG
rnacentral:rRNA from 1 species